rnacentral:ncRNA from 1 species
AAAUGCGGUUGAAACAAGAUUUGUUGUGAGCAUUCAGCCGAUGCCAUAGUACCGGAUGGCCGACAUCUUCCGGGAAGGGC